rnacentral:rRNA from 1 species
UACAGAGGUGGCAAGCGUUGUUCGGAAUUACUGGGCGUAAAGGGCGCGUAGGCGGUCCUACAAGUCCCGCGUGAAAGCCCCCGGCUCAACUGGGGAACUGCGCGGGAAACUGUAGGGCUUGAGUUCGGGAGAGGGAAGCGGAAUUCCGGGUGUAGCGGUGAAAUGCGUAGAUAUCAGGAGGAACACCUGUGGUGUAGACAGCUUACUGGACCAUUUCUGACGCUGAGACACGAAAGCGUGGGUAGCAAACAGG